rnacentral:rRNA from 1 species
AUUGAACGCUGGCGGCAGGCCUAACACAUGCAAGUCGAACGGUAACAGGAAGAAGCUUGCUUCUUUGCUGACGAGUGGCGGACGGGUGAGUAAUGUCUGGGAAACUGCCUGAUGGAGGGGGAUAACUACUGGAAACGGUAGCUAAUACCGCAUAACGUCGCAAGACCAAAGAGGGGGACCUUCGGGCCUCUUGCCAUCGGAUGUUCCCAGAUGGGAUUAGCUAGUAGGUGGGGUAACGGCUCACCUAGGCGACGAUCCCUAGCUGGUCUGAGAGGAUGACCAGCCACACUGGAACUGAGACACGGUCCAGACUCCUACGGGAGGCAGCAGUGGGGAAUAUUGCACAAUGGGCGCAAGCCUGAUGCAGCCAUGCCGCGUGUAUGAAGAAGGCCUUCGGGUUGUAAAGUACUUUCAGCGGGGAGGAAGGGAGUAAAGUUAAUACCUUUGCUCAUUGACGUUACCCGCAGAAGAAGCACCGGCUAACUCCGG